AAUACUCUAGAAAACAUUAUGUAAGUUUCACCAUUCUACUCAUAGCUACUCACAACUAGAAGACUCUAGAAAACAGUAGGUAGGAUAGAAAAGAAAAGGAAAGAAAUACUACACUAGAGUGGAAGCAUCUAGGAGUAGCCAAACAGAUCUGGCAUGUGUUUUCUUUCUUCUCAUCUAGUGUUCCUCAUCAUUCUCCCUUGGUUGUUUGGAACUCGCCCUCGAGUUAUCUUCAUAGAGCGCUUCUUCUGGAUGGUAGAGAGUCAAGUCCGCAACAUUGAAAGUGUUGGAGAUACCCAUGUCACUUGGAAGAUCUAUCACAUAAGCAUUAUCAUUUAUCUUCCUCAUGAUAGAGAAGGACCCAUACCUUCGCUGCCUAAGUUUCCCUUUAACACCUAAAGGCAGCCUCUCUUUUUGGAGGUAGACCAUCACCUUAUCACCGACUUGGAAUGAUUUUGGCCUCUUUUUGCAAUCAGCAAGUUGUUUAUAUUUCUGAUUUUGUGCUUCCAAAGCGCCGCGAAUCUCUUCAAAUAACUCCGUGUAAUUAUCAGCAAAGGACAAUGCUGAUUUUGAGUUUCCCCUUGAUGGCAGCUUCACCAGGUCCACCACAUGUGUUGGAACUUUAGUGUAGACAAUGGAAAAAGGGCUCCUUCCUGUGGAUCUAUGCUUGGAGUUAUUGUAGGAGAACUCUGCGAGAGAUAAAGCCAAAUCCCAUUGCCCCUUUCUUUCUCCACAAAUGCAACGGAUCAGAUUACCCAAAAACUUGUUCACCACUUCCGUUUGUCCAUCUGUUUGUGGAUGAGCAGUGCUAGAAAAUUUCAAUUCAGUGUUGAAUUGCUUCCACAAAGUGAGCCAAAAUGCAGCAAGAAACUUGCUAUCACGGUCUGAGACAAUGGACCUUGGAACUCCAUGAAGUCUGGCCACUUCUCGAAAGAAUAGGUUUGCCACAUGAUGAGCAUCCGUUGUCUUGCGGCAUGGGAUGAAAUGAGCCAUCUUAGAGAAUCUAUCCACGACCACAAAUACAUCAUCACUUCCUCGUCUUGUUCUUGGCAAGCCCAAGACGAAGUCCAUAGAAAUGUCCUCCCAUGGAGCAACAGGAACAGGCAAAGGCAUGUAUAACCCUGUGUUCUGGACUUGGCCUUUGUAGGUCUGACAUACGGGGCACCGUUGAACGAACUUUCCAGCAUCUCUCUUUAGUUGUGGCCAAAAGUAGCGAGCUUCCAGGUUAGCGAUAGUCUUGUCCCGUCCAACAUGGCCACUAAGAUCACUUGAAUGGAGCUCUCUAACCAGCUUGUCACGUAGAGAACUUCUUGGAAUGCACAAACGAUCAUUUUUGAAGAGAUAUCCAUCUUGCAUCAAAUAGUCAUCACCUAAUGGUUGGCCCCUUGCGUGCUUUACCCAAACAUGGCCAAAGUCUUCGUCACCCUCAUACAACUCCUUUAUUUGACCCAUGCCCGGAAGUUCAGCUUCAAAAGAAGUCAAGAGGCAUGCACGACGACUCAAAGCAUCGGCCACUCUGUUAGUUAUUCCAGAUUUAUGCACGAUGAGAUAGUUAAACCUCAAGAUAUGCUGCCCAUCUUGCUAGCAUGCGGUCAACAUGCUUUUGAUUUCUAAAAUGCUUCAAGGAUUGAUGGUCGCUAUAAACAAUGAACUCUUUAGGCAGCAAAUAGACUUCCCAAGUUUUCAACGCUCUGAAAACGGCAUAUAAUUCUUGCUGAUAGGUACUCCAUUUCUGUCUAGCUUCACUUAACUUCUCACUAAAGAAAGCAAUGGGCUUCCUUUCUUGAGAUAGGACAGCUCCAAUGCCUAGUUGCCUACUCCACUUGCAUCACACUCCAACUCAAGAGUCUUGUUGAAAUCAGGUGGUACCAAGACAGGAGCUUGUGAUAGCUUUUGUUUAAUCUCAUUGAAGCUAGCUUCAGCUGCUUCUGCCCAUUGGAACUUUCCUUUCUUCAAACACUCGGUAAUUGGUGCCAUGAUAGUGCUGAAAUUCUUAACAAAUCGCCUAUAGAAAGUUGCAAGGCCAUGAAAGCUUCUUACCUCAAAAAUGGUCUUAGGAGUUGGCCAUUCUUGGAUUGCUUCAACCUUAGAAUCAUCAACACGAAUGCCGUCACAUGUUAUGACGAAUCCUAGGAAAAGAAGUUGUGUUUGCAGGAAAACACAUUUCUUCAAGUUGACGUAGAGCUCAUUUUCCCUUAGUACUUCUAGCACCUUCCGAAUGUGAUCAAAGUGUUCAUCCUCAUCCUUGCUAUAGAUCAAGAUGUCAUCGAAAUAGACCACAACAAAGUGGGAUAAGAAGGGUCUAAGGACUUGAUUCAUUAAGUGCAUAAAGGUACUUGGUGCAUUUGAGAGUCCAAAUGGCAUGACUAGCCAUUCAAACAACCCUUCCUUUGUCUUGAAGGCGGUCUUCCAUUCAUCCCCGGGUCUUAUACGGAUUUGAUGAUAUCCACUUCUUAAAUCUAGCUUUGUGAACACUCUUGCUCCACUAAGCUGAUCCAACAUAUCAUCCAGACGGGGAAUAGGGAAUCUAUACCUUACGGUGAUCUUGUUAACGGCUCUACUGUCCGUACACAUGCGCCAAGAUCCAUCUUUCUUUGGCGCGAGUAGGGCUGGUACAGCACAUGGGCUAAUACUUUCUCGAAUGUGCCCCUUUUGCAACAAUUCCUCCACUUUCUCCUUCAAUAUACCAUGCUCCUUUGGGCUCAUUCGAUAGUGUGGAAGAUUAGGAAGACUUGCUCCCGGAAUUAAGUCAAUUCUAUGUUGAAUUCCUCUCAUCGGUGGCAAGCCAUGUGGCUCCCCAAGUAUGUUUUGAAAUUCUGCCAAUAAACCACGUACCUUUGCUGGAAUUUCAACAGUCAGGUGCUCUUCUCCCUUUACAACAAGUGCAGCACACAAAUCUGCCUCCUUCAAGUCUUCCAUAAACUCAUGAGAGGUAUGGGAGAUAGUUAACAUAGUUUUCCCCUCCUCCUUAGAGGUAUUACCUUUGGGUUUGUUUGGUAAGAUAAUGAUCCUUCUCUUGUUCCAAAUGAAAGAGUAAGAAUUUUCCUUGCCCUUGUGUGUAGUAUCCACAUCAAAUUGCCAAGGUCUCCCAAGAAGAACAUGGCUGGCAUCCAUGUCAACCACAUCACACAACACAUUUGAGCGAUAAUGCUUACCCAAAGAAAGUGGCAGGUUGCAUUGUUUGGUGAUCCUCAUAUUCACUCCUUUCUUGAUCCAUCCAAUAGUGUAGGGAUUUGGAUGAUCAUGGGUUUCAAGCUUUAAAUGGUCCACCAACUUCUGGGAGAUAAGAUUCUCGCAGCUGCAACUAUCAAUCACUAGUUUGCAUACCUUGCCAUUCACCGUGCAUUUGCUCUCAAAUAUUUUCUUCCGUUGUGUAUCAUCGAGUUGUGGUGUGGAACAUAGGACACGCUGGAUCACACAUACCACCUCUUCACCUUCUUCUUGACAAACCUCUUGUCCGUCUACAUCUUCAGAUUCGUAUUCUUCCUCAUCGCUUUCACCAUCAUGGAUAGUCGUGUUAACAAAUUUCCUUAGUGGGCAGCCGCUGGAUAUGUGUCCCUCUUUACCACAUUUAUAGCACUUUGGGCCUUCAUUUGCCUUACCCUUGCCUCUAGUUUGCUUCGGGAUGGGCUGUUUUGUCUUUGGUGGAGUGGUCUUUUCUUCCACUCUGUUAGGUUGGCUCCUAGAUGAGCCUUCGGUAUGAGAAUAUGGAGGAUAUGGAGCCUUAGUUGUCUUUCUCAUCCUCACAAACCUCUCGGCCUUUAAGGCUAGAGCUUGUGCUUGAUCAACGGACCAGAUUUGUUGCAUCAUCAAUCGAUCUUGAAUAGCAUCAUUGAGACCAUUGAUGUACCUUGCAACUUGUUGCUCUUCAGUUUCAGCAAGGUUGCACCUCACUUGUAGCCUUAGAAACUCCUCCGUGUAAUCUGAAACAGUCCUAUUUCCUUGAGCACAAUUUUGAAAUUGGAUAAAUAGGAUCUGGUCAUAAUCAUCGGGCAAAAAUCUCCCUUUCAAGAGGCCUUUCAUUUGUCGCCAAGUUCUAACACGAGGUUCUCCUCUGAGCCUGCGCUCCUCUUGAACGCGAUGCCACCAUGCACCGGCUCCUCCUUUCAGUUUGUAUGCGACCAAAGGAACUCUACGAUCUUCUGAAACCUCCAUGACCUCAAAGAAAGUCUCCACUUCAUAUAACCAAUCCAGGCACCCUUCAAUGUCAACAUUUCCAUUAAAACUUGGGAUCUCAGCUUUCACCUUGUAUGUAUCUCUUGCAUAUGUAGGGUUGGGUGCUCUCCGAUAUGCGUAGACAUUUGGCUCUUCAAGGGCAUCAUCAUACUCUUCACCUUCAGAAGCCUCAACAUAAAUUGGCCUUCUUGAAUCACGUUGAACAACAUGUUGUCAUGGCAGUCUUGCUCCAAGAUUACCUCUCCUUCUUCCUUGAUGAACAUCUUCCUCUUCUUUAGAUGAAUCUCCUUCAUUGGUAGCAGGGGGGACACCCUUUCUUAUCAUCUCAACCAGCUGGUCAAAUCUCCUAUUAAGAUCUUCACGCAGCUCUUUGAUUUGUUGUUCAGCAGCAUCCAUCCUCUUCUCCAAUUGCUCCAUUGCUUGCUGCAACUUACUCUCGAAGAGGACAGCAAGAACUAGUAUGGGUCAACGAGGCUCUGAUACCACCUGAAGCAACACAAAGUUUGUGGAGGAGCAACUCCACCUUGCUGCUACAAUGUGUACAGCACAAGUGUUGAAGGAACAGCUUCAACGUGCUGCGCUAGAUAUCGCUCUAGAGGCGAAUGUAGGUUGAUAGGCAGCAAGAGUUCAAUCCAGAACUCCUAGGGCACAAGAUCUACUCCAAGAUCUUAGAUAAGAACAACAAGUUCUAUUAUAGGUAGGGGUACAUAGUCUGCCUCCAAAGUAGAGGCGAGGACCUCUAUUUAUAGGGCUUUGGGAAGCCUUCAUAUACUUCUACUUAUAGCUGGAAUACUCUAGAAAACAUUAUGUAAGUUUCACCAUUCUACUCAUAGCUACUCACAACUAGAAGACUCUAGAAAACAGUAGGUAGGAUAGAAAAGAAAAGGAAAGAAAUACUACACUAGAGUGGAAGCAUCUAGGAGUAGCCAAACAGAUCUGGCAUGUGUUUUCUUUCUUCUCAUCUAGUGUUCCUCAUCAACUAGUCACGACUAGUCGCGAUUUUUGGGUCGAACGACUCGAGGCAGCGCUGGAUCUGGAGCACUCUCCCACCGCCGUGCUGCUGAUGCUGCUGCUGUGCUGUCUCGCCGCUGCUGCUUCUGCGCCCCCGCUGCAGCGCUGGCCGCUGCCGCCGCUGCUGCUGAAGCUGCAGCAGCAAGAGGAGCGGGCUGGGAGGAGGAGCGGUGGCAAGAGAGCUGCUGCGGGGGAGUUGAGAGAUCCAUCGCUGGGAGGAGUGGUGGACUGGUGGCAAGAGAGUGCCAGCAGAAUGUGUGGCGGCUGUGGUGAGGGAGGAGGGAGUGUGGAUGGUGGAUUAGGUCACGGGAGGAGUAUAUAGCUACUAGAUGGGCUUUUGGGCCACAGGGAAGUGCAUAACUAGUGGCCCAUCUCUCAG
rnacentral:lncRNA from 1 species